GCACUCGCUUCGGCAGUAUAUGUACUAAACUUGGAAAGACCCAGAGAAGAUUAGUACGGCCCCUGCGCAAGGAUGAAACGCAAAAUAGUGAAGCAUUACACGUUUUU